rnacentral:rRNA from 1 species
AAUCAACGCUGGCGGCGUGCCUCAGACAUGCAAGUCGAACGCGAAAGUUCCCUUCGGGGGGCGAGUAGAGUGGCGCACGGGUGAGUAACACGUAGGUAAUCUACCUUUGGGUGGGGAAUAACAGCCGGAAACGGCUGCUAAUACCGCAUAAUGCAGCGGCUCGACAUCGAGACAGUUGUUAAAGCGGGGGAUCGCAAGACCUCGCGCCUAAAGAGGAGCCUGCGGCGGAUUAGCUUGUUGGUGAGGUAAUGGCUCACCAAGGCAUCGAUCCGUAGCCGGCCUGAGAGGGCGGUCGGCCACACUGACACUGACAUACGGGUCAGACUCCUACGGGAGGCAGCAGUCGGGAAUUUUGGGCAAUGGGCGAAAGCCUGACCCAGCAACGCCGCGUGAAGGAU